rnacentral:piRNA from 1 species
CUCAGGAACUAGUGAACUUCUGACCCCAGA